rnacentral:rRNA from 1 species
CCUACGGGAGGCAGCAGUGGGGAAUAUUGCACAAUGGGGGAAACACUGAUGCAGCGACGCCGCGUGAGUGAAGAAGUAAUUCGUUAUGUAAAGCUCUAUCAGCAGGGAAGAAAAUGACGGUACCUGAGUAAGAAGCACCGGCUAACUACGUGCCAGCAGCCGCGGUAAUACGUAGGGGGCAAGCGUUAUCCGGAUUUACUGGGUGGAAAGGGAGCGUAGACGGCAGUGCAAGUCUGGAGUGAAAGGCGGGGGCUCAACCCCCGGACUGCUCUGGAAACUGUACGGCUGGAGUGCAGGAGAGGUAAGUGGAAUUCCUAGUGUAGCGGUGAAAUGCGUAGAUAUUAGGAGGAACACCAGUGGCGAAGGCGGCUUACUGGACUGUAACUGACGUUGAGGCUCGAAAGCGUGGGGAGCAAACAGGAUUAGAUACCCUGGUAGUC